UACAGAGGUCUCAAGCGUUGUUCGGAUUCAUUGGGCGUAAAGGGUGCGUAGGCGGCGCGGUAAGUCGGGUGUGAAAUCUCGGAGCUUAACUCCGAAACUGCAUUCGAUACUGCCGUGCUUGAGGACUGGAGAGGAGACUGGAAUUUACGGUGUAGCGGUGAAAUGCGUAGAUAUCGUAAGGAAGACCAGUGGCGAAGGCGAGUCCCUGGACAAUACCUGACACUGAGGCACGAAAGCUAGGGGAGCAAACAGG
rnacentral:rRNA from 1 species